rnacentral:lncRNA from 1 species
GGCCUGGCGCGUCCGCCGAGCGCGGGGGUUUGUUUAUUUUCCCGGUUGGUAGCGGCGCUGGCGCUGGUUAGAGGUUCGCCGGUGACGUGAGCGCCCGAGUUGGGGGAGAGGACCAGAACCACCUGCUGGAGAAAGGGAGCUACGGGGGCCGGGCAGGGUCCAAACGCCUCACGUGGGCGGCGGCGCCACGGUCUUCGGGGUCACAGGGAAGAGAAGGGCUCUCCUCAAGCGGGUGGAAGGAGGGAGGCCUCCCGAGGGAAUGAGACUCCAGGCCACUCCCCCGCAGCAAGGCAGGAUCACCUGCGUCGCGGAGAGCAGUUAGAGGUCCCUGGAGUGGAAAAGGGCAGUGGGACCUGGUAGCUUGGGUUCCCUGCAACUUGGGGUUCGACCUCCAGGCAAUGAAGUAGGGAUGGUCCUGCAAGUCAAGAUUCCAGUAGCAAGAGUGCAUCAGAUCUCUGUAAGGAAAAUAACUAACAUUGCUCAGUUCCCUGUAGAGUUGCAGGGCGCUUUGACGUUAUCUCCCUUGGUUCUCCAUCAGGUCGUAGUGGACUAAUUUUACAGGCGAAGUUAAGUGACUUACCCAAAACCUCACAGCUAAUAAACGGCAGAGCCGGCACCCAGCUGUACUGGCUUCCAGCGCAUCCCAUUAUCUCCAUAAAUCCCCCUGAUUCAACUAAUAUUAGACGCCCCACAGGUAAGAUGCUUCAGAGUUAGAGGGGAGUUGAAGAUACCUUUGCCUUCAAAGAAGUAAGGAAUGAAACAAAGAUAAAACAGACAAUAAAAGACAAACCAUGAUAGGUGCCACGUGAAAAGUGGCAGAGUACUGCCGGGAAUCAAAGAACCGUGUAUAUCUGUCUUGGGGAUAAGGAAAGAAACGCAGCAUGAAGGAGUAGGCAUUUGGGAUUGACCUUGAAGGAGACAGGGAGAGUUUUACAGCAAGAAGGGAUAGCAUGAGAAUAUAUAUGAAGGCGAAUCAGUGAAAGUUGUGUUGGGGAAAGAGCAAAGACUCCAGGUAUGUUGAGAGGUAGAAAAGACAAAGGAGUAUGGGGCCUAAGAUACCAAAUGGAUGAAUUUAUAUUUAAUUCAGUAUUUUGAGUUUUUAUGGUUCAGAAGUUUGGGGGAAGAAAAGGAAGGUUUUUUUUUUCUUUAUGCUAGUGAUUUAUCUGUGAAGGGAAGCAGAAAUCAGAGGUGGAAAAACUGACAGAUCUACUGUAGGCCAGGUAAAAGGUAAUGAUGAGUCUGACCUAAAGGGACAGCCAGGGGAAUUUAAAGAGCAUAGUUGAGAGAUGAUGUGCAUGCAGAAUCUAUAGAAUUUGCUAACUGAUUGAUUAAUUGUGGGUAGGAAGAGAGAAAUCAAAGAAAGUGGAGGUUUUGAGUUUCUAGAUAAUUGCAAGAGAGAAAAGAGACAAUUACAAAGGAAAGGAGAAGGAGCUACUUCUUGAGAGAAGAUCAGUUUAGAUUUAGACAUUUUAAGAAUUCAAAGGGUUGUCAAGACAGCCAGACGGACAUGGACACUAAUAAGUUAGAAAUAAAGGUUUUGUAAUAUGGGAAAGAGGACUGAGCUAGAAAAUAGACUCAUAGAUAAUCAGCCUAGGAGUGAUAUUGCUGUGAGAUAAAAGAAGAAAACAAAGUCAGAAUCUUGGAAAACACCCUCUUCAGAGUCUCGCUGCUCAAAACGUGGUCAGUGGCCCAGCAGCACUGACAUGAGGACCUUAGUUGGAAACUCAGAAUCUCAGGCUCCACCCCAGACCUGCUGAACCAGCAUCUUCAACUUAACAAGAACCCGAAGAGAUUUGUGCCACAUCAAAAAGUUUGAGAAGCUCUGAUCUAGGUGAGCCAAGCCAGCAAAGAAAGGGGGUGGAGCAGAAAAUGGGAGGAGAAUAGGGUAAUGCAGAAUCAUCAAGACAAGGUAAAUUGGACUUUCACAAAAACGGGGCUGGAAGGAGUGUUGCUCAACAAUAUCCAAAACCACAGAGGUUGAAAAGCACAAGGAAAGAAGGUAUGUUUGCACUUUGUGAUUAGGUAGUAGGGUCUUUAAGACCACAUUGUUCUCAUUGAAAGCCUGGGAAGAAAGAUCCCCUUUCUGGUCAAGGUUAGUCUAGGGAUCCAUCCCCUCUUCCCCAGUUCCCACGUAUAUGGGACAUGUCGAGAUAAGUAGAUAGAUUGGACAGUGGGAGAAAGUAGUUCUCUUCCAGUUGCUUCUAUUUUCUCAGCAAAGUGAGGAACAAGAUCAUUUUGGCAGACUGCUAAUUGUCCAUCAUAAUUUAGUCUCCCCUUCUCCCUGAAAACACAGACUGCUUUUCUCAGCCUCUCUUUCAGUUGCAUAUGGUCAAGUAUUAAGUUAUAGAACAUGAGCAGAUGUUAUGUCUGCCACUGUCAGGCCAAGGCGUUUACUUUGAGAGUACUUGUGCCUCUUUCAUACAUUUUCCUUUCUGCCAGCUGGACCCUGGACACGGUGACUCUGAUUCAAUUAUGCAGAUGACCACAAGCCUCUGGGGUUGGCAGAGCCACAAGAAAGAAGGUGCCUGGAUGAAGGAGAGCUACCCACUGACCUGGACACCCAAUUAUUCAUCUGUCUUAGAGCUAUUGGAAUCCUGGAUCAUUGUGGGAAAUGAAAAGAACUGGUUUUUAGCAAGGAGACCAAGAAACUCUACUCCCUAGGGGCUAGCAAUGAGAGAAAGGAAGCCUUGAGUCUUUGAGCACAGGGUGACAGUUUGGGUCCUAUGUGAGAUGAUCAAAUCCACAGCAACAGAGGAAAGGACAAAAGGAAAAGAUACUUCGAUGGAAUCAGCAGCCAUUGAUCCAAUGCCAACUCCAAGACUGGAACGUCGCAAUGAUAGUUCCAAGGCGGAAAUUUGAC